GGGGGGAGGCCGGAUCCUGGGCUGUGUCCCGGCGCCCUGUGCUCCGGGGCCUGCGCUGUUGGAUCGCGCUCCCGGGCGCGCAGCCCCUC
rnacentral:pre_miRNA from 1 species